rnacentral:rRNA from 1 species
AAAGGAAUAGACGGGGCCCCGCACAAGCGGCGGAGCAUGCGGAUUAAUUCGAUGCAACGCGAAGAACCUUACCUGGGUUUGACAUAUGCCGGAAACAUUCAGAGAUGGAUGCCCCUUUUUGGUCGGUAUACAGGUGGUGCAUGGCUGUCGUCAGCUCGUGUCGUGAGAUGUUGGGUUAAGUCCCGCAACGAGCGCAACCCUCGUCCAAUGUUGCCAGCACGUAAUGGUGGGGACUCAUUGGAGACCGCCGGGGUCAACUCGGAGGAAGGUGGGGAUGACGUCAAGUCAUCAUGCCCCUUAUGUCCAGGGCUUCACGCAUGCUACAAUGGCCGGUACAAAGGGCUGCGAACCUGCAAGGGUGAGCGAAUCCCAAAAAGCCGGUCUCAGUUCGGAUUGGGGUCUGCAACUCGACCCCAUGAAGUCGGAGUCGCUAGUAAUCGCAGAUCAGCAACGCUGCGGUGAAUACGUUCCCGGGGCUUGUACACACCGCCCGU